CACACAAAAGCAAGCAAUUUUUACUGCUUUUAAAAUAUGUAUAAUAAAAUAAGUUAAUUGGCAUUCAAGCUAUAUUUUUGAUCAAUUGGAAUCUUUCUUUACAACCAAAUCUAAGAAAUUCAUACUUGCGAGAUUGUUGCCAUCCAGCUGUUGUCAGAUAAAUAAAAACAUUCAAGAACUAUUCGCCCCCCAAACAGCUUUUACGAUAUUAACGUUGCGAUUUUUUUUAUAGAUUUAUAUCUACGAUUUGGCGUAUAGUAUUUUUUAUUGAAAUAGGAAACUUUGUGCAUAUUGCAUGCAUCAAAUGGCACAGCAGAAACAACAACAACAACAAUAAGAACAAACUUCUUCACUUGCAACAUUUUUGUUGUUGUUGGCCGUUUUUUUUAUGACAAAGAACGAAAUGAGAUGAAAUUAUUGACGGAAAAAAAAACGGAAAUCGCUGGCAAUAGUCAAAGGAAAUAAAAGCGAAAUUACUUUUGAUAAAGCAACGGCAAGGACAACUACUAAAACUACACACACUCGUAAAAGCGAACAGAAAACAGCAGGAAGUUAGCUACAAGAGGGCGUUGAUUUGUCACAAGUAGAAUUAUGAGAGUCGGGAUGUCAGGAUGUUGUUGCCCAGAAGCGGCUGCCGGAGACAACAACAACAACAACAACAACAAGGAGAAGAAGAAGAGGGUAACAACAAACACUUCAAUUACCGGAAAACGUGUCUGAUAAUACCUACCGAGAUUUGAGCCCAGCAAAAGCAGCAUGGCCAAAAAAGUAUACCCUGUAAGCUGUGGCAGAAUGGGCAUAACCACACAGUUGCGCCAGCACAAUGUUGAAGAACUUGCUUGAAGGAAAACCUCUAGGACUCGUUAUAAAGCCAUGUCUCUCUCUGAUCCUAGCCAAAGGCUUACAUCGAGAUCAUCUGAAUCGUAUCACAGUCCAUAGUAUCACAAUUUUGUCAUAUAGCCAUAGCUGCUUUUCAUAUAUCAGCAGCUCUGAGCUUUAAUAUAUCUCCAAGGCAGUAAUACUCGGCCUUAUAAGGCACCAGUAGAAGCAAUUGUUCUAUUAUUAAGCUAUUUUCUGCUGAUAUUAGCUUUGUUUUACCAUAGUUAUUUACACUCCCUUGUAAUCUACGCUGUAAACUUAUGUCCAACUCAGUUGAGUUCCAUUUUGUUAUUAUGCCUUCCCUGCUGAAUGCAGAGCAUUGUUCAGUCGCGCAUAGAUUUUGUUGUUCUCAUGCUUUUUGUAUUGCUCGCUGCAUUUAUUAUUAUUAACGACUAGUUUAUGGCGCACGGUUUGAGCGGCAUUAAUAUUAAUAACCAGUUCAAACAUUGUUGUUGGCGCGCAGGAAAUCGCAAACAGAAAUGUGUUGACAUGUUGCCCGUCAGGAUCUGCAUACCGUUGUGCCUUGGCUCAGCAUGAGAUCUCUAGUUUCUACCUAUGAUAGGUGUGUUGGUUUGCGAAUAGUUUUAAUGGGUUAUUACUGCUGUCAUUCCCUUUCGUGCUUGGCCCGGCAGCGGGCUAAGAAAACGCCAUAAAUGUCAUUUGGUCGUAAAAGGCGAAAUGCAAUUUCUGGGCUCCUUGCCGCGCCCCCUUGAGCACUGAGCUGCACUUAAAUUUAUAUAUUUUAUGCGCUACCAAACCCAGAACUAAAAAGUGUCCUUGUUGUGACUCCUCUCGUCGAGGGCUGCGUGUGAAAUUAUGAUAAAUGUGCAUAAAAUCGCAUCGAGCAAAACAACCGCACGUUGGCAUAUCCUGUUUUUGUCUCUAUCCUGCACUUGGGCUGCAUUUCGUCAUUGUUUUGCGGUCGUAAAAAGUGUCCUGCGUCAAGGAGAAUUGCAAGGCGGCACGCACACAGGACAAUGCACAGCCCGAGCCACCGAAUGGCGUUUUUGAUUGCAUUUUCUUUUAAUUAAAUUAGCUUUUUUAUGCGCUGCUCUGCUUUCUGUUUGAUGCUCAAAAGAAAAACCAAAAAAAAACAAAACCCCAACGAAAGGACGAAAAAUGUCCAUGAUAGGGAGUGUCCUGCAGCAAAAAGCAAAAAAACAACGGCAAUAAAUUGGUUAAUUGAGAAUUAUCA